rnacentral:rRNA from 1 species
GCCAACACUAGCUCCAAGCACAACCAACACUAAUAUCAAACCCACAUGUAUACCAAACCAUUAACCCAUAUUAAGUAUAGGCGAUAGAAAUCUUAACCUGGCGCUAUAGAUACAGUACCGUAAGGGAAAGACAAGAAAACCACCCAAGCACAAAACAGCAAGGACUAACCCCUGUACCUUUUGCAUAAUGAAUUAGCCAGAAACAAUUUCACAAAGAGAACUGAAGCCAAAUUCCCCGAAACCAGACGAGCUACCCAAAAACAGCUGAAAGAGCGCACCCGUCUAUGUGGCAAAAUAGUGGGAAGAUUUCUGGGUAGAGGUGACAAGCCUACCGAGCCUGGUGAUAGCUGGUUAUCCAAGAUAGAAUCUUAGUUCAGCCUUAAGUUUACCCACAGAAUAACCCAAUCCCUCUGUAAACUUAAUUGUUAGUCUAAAGAGGGACAGCUCUUUAGACACUAGGAAAAACCUUACAUAGAGAGUAAAAACCCCCGUCACCAUAGUUGGCCUAAAAGCAGCCAUCAAUUAAGAAAGCGUUCAAGCUCAACAUUAACCACCUAAAAAAUCCCAAACAUACUAUUGAACUCCUUAAAUCACAUUGGAUUAAUCUAUCACCCCAUAGAAGCAAUAAUGCUAGUAUAAGUAACAUGAACUCUCUCUCUCCCUACUGCAUAAGCCUAAACCAAACCAAAACCCCACUGAUACUUAACAGCCCAGUACUAACAAACACAAACAAGUCCAUACUACUCUUACUGUUAAUCCAACACAGGCAUGCUUUUAAGGAAAGGUUAAAAAAAGUAAAAGGAACUCGGCAAACUUAGCCCCGCCUGUUUACCAAAAACAUCACCUCUAGCAUUACUAGUAUUAGAGGCACUGCCUGCCCAGUGACACACGUUUAACGGCCGCGGUACCCUGAC